GAGAGAGACCCUCCUGUAGGUUUUAACUCCAACCCUGUUCCUGGAGAGAGACCCUCCUGUAGGUUUUAACUCCAACCCUGUUCCUGGAGAGAGACCCUCCUGUAGGUUUUAACUCCAACCCUGUUCCUAGAGAGAGACCCCUCCUGUAGGUUUUAACUCCAACCCUGUUCCUGGAGAGAAACCCUCCUGUAGGUUUUAACUCCAACCCUGUUCCUGGAGAGAGACCCUCCUGUAGGUUUUAACUCCAACCCUGUUCCUGGAGAGACACCCUCCUGUAGGUUUUAACUCCAACCCUGUUCCUGGAGAGAUACCCUCCUGUAGGUUUUAACUCCAACCCUGUUCCUGGAGAGAGACCCUCCUGUAGGUUUUAACUCCAACCCUGUUCCUGGAGAGACACCCUCCUGUAGGUUUUAACUCCAACCCUGUUCCUGGAGAGAUACCCUCCUGUAGGUUUUAACUCCAACCCUGUUCCUGGAGAGAAACCCUCCUGUAGGUUUUAACUCCAACCCUGUUCCUGGAGAGAGACCCUCCUGUAGGUUUUAACUCCAACCCUGUUCCUGGAGAGACCCUCCUGUAGGUUUUAACUCCAACCCUGUUCCUGGAGAGAUACCCUCCUGUAGGUUUUAACUCCAACCCUGUUCCUGGAGAGAGACCCUCCUGUAGGUUUCAACUCCAACCCUGUUCCUGGAGAGAGACCCCUCCUGUAGGUUUUAACUCCAACCCUGUUCCUGGAGAGAGACCCCUCCUGUAGGUUUUAACUCCAACCCUGUUCCUGGAGAGAUAC